UCAAGAAUUUUUCUCUUGAAUCAAGUUAAUUUUUUUUUUCAGUGCAGGCUCUCAAGCUCUCUAUAAAACUGGAUCACAACCAACUAAAGUAUUUCUUCACUUUUAAAACCACCACUGGAUUUUUAUUGUAAACUUAAAGUCUAUAAAUUAAAACAAAGAAACAAUUAUUAUUAAAAUAAAAUCCAACACUUACUAAAUUAAAUUAAUUACUUGAUCUUAAAAACUCUCGUUAAUAAAUCACGUAAUCAUGAUUUGUAAACACAAGAUGAAGAAAAAUAGAAGAAAUAUUAGGAGGGAGGAACACUAUCAGUUGCUGGUGGAUGUUGAUAGUCUUGUUGGUCCCCUGGACGCUGUCGUGGUGGUUGUCGUACUCACUCAGUUAAAUUAUUUCUCGUCAACUCCGAAGCAACCGCAAAUAAUGCAUGUGGGGGAGCCAAUUCUACCGGAUUCCACCUCCUCGAGCGUUGCAUCUCCCAUUCUCCGACUUGGCUUUGCCAUUCUCCGUCACAUUGCCACCAGCGUAUAUAAUAAUAAUAAUAAGAGUAGGUACCAAUACUCUCUUGCUUUUACUCCCUCUCUAGUGAGUACAAUACAAACCACAAGUUUAACAACUACGUUGCCGUGUUACAAAUACAUGUGCUGUUGUUCAUGAUGUUGAGAUGCCAUUGUCCUUUACUCUCUUGGUGUACCAACUAAUACUCCAAACUCACUCCGUGAGAGUACCCGCUUCACUCUAUAAUAUAUUGUUCAUGUUAAUAAUAAGAAAAUUUCAAGUGGUCACUGGAGGGUGAAAGAAUAAAUACAUACCAAGAGUGUUAAAAAAAUGGGUAACCUGAAUUGAAAACGACACAAUUUGAAUUAAAUAAAAGUAAUAAUAGACAAAAGACCAAACAAUCAACUAACUGUCAGUUUAAUGAAGAAACUCUAUGGGUUUCCGGGAACGUAACUUAGUCAGCUACUCCCUGGUACAAUGGCAUUAAUAUAAAUGUUGCGAUCAGGGAGACCGGUAUUAUGAAUAUAGUGCCGCAACAGGCGGGUGACUCGAUUUAUGUCACGCAAUAUGUAUACAAUUGUAUUCCAAGCUACUGAACCUCGAGGGAGGAACAUUGGACUGUUUUCCUGGGAUUUUUCUUCACCAGUAUCAACAAUAUCAAUAUACAUUUGUACAAACACACACAUAGAGAACGCAUUCCUACACAAAUCUAUUACAAUUUCAUUUUCAUUGUACUAUUAAUAAAUAUUAUUACAUUUUAUUGA